rnacentral:rRNA from 1 species
UACGUAGGGUGCAAGCGUUGUCCGGAAUUAUUGGGCGUAAAGAGCUCGUAGGCGGUCUGUCGCGUCUGCUGUGAAAACUCAGGGCUUAACCCUGAGCUUGCAGUGGGUACGGGCAGACUAGAGUGCGGUAGGGGAGACUGGAAUUCCUGGUGUAGCGGUGAAAUGCGCAGAUAUCAGGAGGAACACCGGUGGCGAAGGCGGGUCUCUGGGCCGUAACUGACGCUGAGGCGCGAAAGCUAGGGGAGCAAACAGG